AUUCAGAAUACAUUGGCUGUUUGAGCUACCACUUCAGAUAACGAGAGGGAGAAGAAACGCGAUUCUGUUUCUAUACUGGUGCAAUUUUCGGCCGAUUUUUGAGUGUCGGGCCAAUUUUUAGGGUUUUGGGCCGAUUUUUGAGUUUUUGGUUGACUUUCAAGUUUAUGGCCGAUUUUAGGAUUUUUAGCCGAGAUUAAUUUUUUUUACUGAAUUUAGAUAGGGUUAAGGGAGAGAUGAAGAAUUUGAAAUUCCUCAUAUUUUGAGGUGAUUUCAAUUACCCUAAAUCCUAUUGAGUAAAAUACCUCAUUUAAUUACUAGUAAUUUGAGAAUUCUCCACAUUAGAUAUCCAAACAAGGUAUUUUAAUUGAAAGGAUUUGAAAUACCCUCUAAAAUUACAUUCCCCUCAAAUAUUCCCCCAUCCAAACACAACCUUAGGGAUUUUGUUUUUCAAGAAUUGAUUUUUGGAUUCUUUUUCUCUUCUUCAUGAAUUUAUCAUUUAUGCUUUCCCCUUUAUCCAUCCCUGAAAGCUUUUUCAAUCGGGGGCGCUUCAAAUCCAAAGACAACUGCACCGCCUUUAAGGGUCUUCCAUUCUAUUGCUGCGCCCUCACGUUUACACCGUUUGAGUAUCCUGUUUGUACACCUGAUGGCAGCGUUUUCGAUGUUAUGAAUAUCACUCCUUAUGUUAUCAAAUAUGGUAAACAUCCUGUCACCGGAGCUCCGUCCGGAUCUCAUUCCACUCAAUUUCCACAAGAAUUCAGAAGAAGUCAAUUUCUGAGACUGAGCAUGCAAGGGAGUCAAUUUCUGUUUGUGGAGAAAAAGAUAGGCUAUUUAUGAAUCUAUACAUUCCUACUGCCUUCUCUCCUCCCCAGGGUUCCUCUCUACAUGGCUGUUUCUGAAUACUUAAGAAUUCACCAUCUAACUGCAUAUUGCAGCUUAUCUUUUGUAGACUUAUUGAGUAAAAUAUAAUUGAAAUUAUAUACAGCUAAAAAGUUGAAAUUAUCUAAUUUGGGUGUGUGUUUUUGUAUGAUAUAGUUGUGGUAUUCGCCAGAUUCACCACGUCGACCAUGGCAGACGCCACCGUGCUCUCCUCAGCUGGAUACCGCCACGACGCUGUUUGGGACUGGCUGUUGUGUUUUCACGACACAGUAAACCAAUGUGAUUGAAAGAUGGAUAAAGGAACGGAAGCUCAAUGUUAUCAGAAUGAAAAUAAGAGCUUAGAGGAAUGCAUAUGAUGGUUGAAAGAAGAAUAUGUAGUUCCACAUGAGAAAUAGAGGGAGUUGGGUUUUGUGUUCAGGUUCACAGCUACCACCCCAAGAGCAUGUUUUGUUGUGAGUUGACUUGGGACACAGCUUUUUCCUCUUCCCAAACGAGGAAUUUUUUGUGUUCUUGAAUGUUUUAAGAGUUCAUAUUUUGUAUGUGAAAGAGAAGAGAAAGACAAAGCAACAUAACAACCAAUGUUUAAUCACAUCUGAAAGAGCAAGAGAAAUAGCUAGAUAGUGAAUAUAUUAAGAGCAAUUGUUGUGGGUGUUUUGAUUUUUUAAGCUAUGGGUGUAUGCAUAUGCUGACACCUUUGAAUGCAUAGGAGAUGAUUAAAGGUAACUUUGUAAUUAUGAACCAUGGUGAAACUUUAAUGUCGGAUGAGAA